GUUGUCUCUUCCACAUAUUACUCGCAGUCAGCGACAGAGGGCUUUCCCACGCCAGGCCUGCAGAUCCCAGUCGGAAGCUUUAUCUAUCCUGCCCCUUGGGGGACUGCGGCUGGCUUUCCCCCAUGAGACCUAUUCUGUAUUGAACAGGAAAGCACAAACAAUCACAAUGCCCAGCAAAGAUAAAGUGUUUUCCAUGCUCUCUGUUACGACAGUGAUCCCCAUAGAGACGUAAUCUUCAGUUUACGGAGACUUUUUUCUGAGUCCCAAAUUGCAGGAAUCUGUGGGGUUUUCCCCCUAACCUUGCCCUUCCACCCUUCGUGGAUCCUCCUGGAAUGGUCCACAGGCAUCUAUAUCUGCUGUCCCCCAACCCCACCAGCAAGGGGCGCGCGAGAUGAAACAGUUCUGUCCUGGGAUGUACCACCGAGGGGUAGCGGAAAGACCACCCACUCUGGAAGGUACCAUUGGGAGAGGGCGUGUGACAACAGAGAGGGUCCCCUUACACCGCGUCGGGCAUGGACCGCAGUUCCCAGCAGCGGCACUCAUGGCGCCACUAGGUCCAUCCCCACUCGCUCCUCUUCGUCUUCCCACUGCUUUUGAAUCCGAGUGGACACAGUGGGCAAGUGGCGUCAACAUUGGGACCUAUAGAUCAAGAUUCCCCAAGCUGGAUGAACCUGUGGUUGACCAGCAGCCCAGUGUUGAGCAACCUCAACAAGAGGAACGGCCACCUGAGAUUCAGGAUAUCACACCUGAAAAGGAGGAAGUAAAUGGAGAGGAUCCGGUGAAUCAUAAUGAAGAGAAGGAGAAGGAUGCCUCUGGAGCUGAAUCGAUGCAUUUUUUGGUAAAGAUUCUCACCUGGAAACUGAUCUCCAGGAAUUGGCUGAAGCAAAGACUGGGGGUAAAGGUGGAGAUGGUCCUGAUGUCAGGGAGGAAUUUGCAUCAAAUACAGAGCCUGUUGAAAUGCCAGAAGCAGGUAUGUCAUCCAUUCAGAAAGUAAUUUAUGUGGUUUCUGUUUUUUCAGAAUAUUAUAUCUUUACUAAUAUAGAGGGAACAUUACUAUUAUUUUAAUAACAGAGUUCACAUAUUCUUUGAAAGAUAGUUCAGACCCCAGAUGCCUGAGUGCCUGACUUACAGACUUUCAAAUAAAGAAACAGAGAGGAUCA
rnacentral:lncRNA from 1 species